UGUUCUCUGGAAUGUGCGCCAGCUGUUGUAGUCCCUUGAGCCUAUGCGUAAUACCCAGGGGGUCACAUUUGCAGACCUGUGUGCAUGUCCGCGCGUCGGAAAGCCUGAUGGUCUGCAUGAGACCACCCACCUUGAACCAGUAGGUUCAGGGCAGAAACAGCAGCGGCAUUCUGGAGAACCC
rnacentral:other from 1 species